CGUACGCAGUUUCUUCAUCGAGUGCUUGCACUCACCGAAGAAACUGAGUGGCGAACGGGUGAGUAACACGUGGGUAACCUGCCCAAAAGAGGGGGAUAACACUUGGAAACAGGUGCUAAUACCGCAUAACAACAAAAACCGCCUGGUUUUUGUUUAAAAGAUGGUUUCGGCUAUCACUUUUGGAUGGACCCGCGGCGUAUUAGCUAGUUGGUAAGGUAACGGCUUACCAAGGCAGUGAUACGUAGCCGAACUGAGAGGUUGAUCGGCCACAUUGGGACUGAGACACGGCCCAAACUCCUACGGGAGGCAGCAGUAGGGAAUCUUCCACAAUGGACGCAAGUCUGAUGGAGCAACGCCGCGUGAGUGAAGAAGGUUUUCGGAUCGUAAAACUCUGUUGUUAGAGAAGAACGUGUGUGAGAGUAACUGUUCAUGCAGUGGCGGU
rnacentral:rRNA from 2 species